rnacentral:rRNA from 1 species
AACCUCCGCAAUGUGAGAAAUCGCGACGGGGGGAUCCCAAGUGCCAUUCUUAACGGGAUGGCUUUUCUUAAGUGUAAAAAGCUUUUGGAAUAAGAGCUGGGCCAGACCGGUGCCAGCCGCCGCGGUAACACCGGCAGCUCUAGUGGUAGCUGUUUUUAUUGGGCCUAAAGCGUUCGUAGCCGGUUUGAUAAGUCACUGGUGAAAUCCUGUAGCUUAACUGUGGGAAUUGCUGGUGAUACUGUUGAACUUGAGGUCGGGAGAGGUUAGCGGUACUCCCAGGGUAGAGGUGAAAUUCUGUAAUCCUGGGAGGACCACCUGUGGCGAAGGCGGCUAACUGGAACGAACCUGACGGUGAGGGACGAAAGCUAGGGGCGCGAACCGGAUUAGAUACCCGGGUAGUCCUAGCCGUAAACGAUGCGGACUUGGUGUUGGGAUGGCUUUGAGCCGCUCCGGUGCCGAAGGGAAGCUGUUAAGUCCGCCGCCUGGGAAGUACGGUCGCAAGACUGAAACUUAGAGGAAUU